rnacentral:rRNA from 1 species
CGGGUGCGUAACACGUAUGUAACCUACCCUUAUCAGGGGGAUAGCCUCUCGAAAGAGAGAUUAAGCCCGCAUAAUAUGAAGACACAGCAUUGUGAUUUCAUCAAAUAUUUAUAGGAUAAGGAUGGGCAUGCGGAACAUUAGCUAGUUGGUAAGGUAAUGGCUUACCAAGGCUACGAUGUUUAGGGGAUCUGAGAGGAUGACCCCCCACACUGGUACUGAGACACGGACCAGACUCCUACGGGAGGCAGCAGUAAGGAAUAUUGGUCAAUGGGCGCAAGCCUGAACCAGCCAUGCCGCGUGCAGGAAGACGGCCCUACGGGUUGUAAACUGCUUUUGUACCGGAAUAAACCUUUCUAUGUAUAGGAAGCUGAAUGUACGGUAAGAAUAAGGAUCGGCUAACUCCGUGCCAGCAGCCGCGGUAAUACGGAGGAUCCAAGCGUUAUCCGGAUUUAUUGGGUUUAAAGGGUGCGUAGGCGGCUUAUUAAGUCAGGGGUGAAAGACGGUAGCUUAACUAUCGCAGUGCCUUUGAUACUGAUGAGCUUGGAAGUGUACUUGGAGGUAGGCGGGAAUUGUGACCAGUAGGCGGGUGGA